rnacentral:tRNA from 1 species
GCCUCUGUAGCUCAGUUGGUUAGAGCGCUGCACCGGAAUCGCAGGGUCGUAUGUUCAAUUCCUACCAGAGGAC